GACGUGGGGGGCGAGCGUUGUCCGGAUUUAUUGGGCGUAAAGCGCGCGCAGGCGGCCUUUUAAGUCUGAUGUGAAAGCCCACGGCUCAACCGUGGAAGGUCAUUGGAAACUGAAAGGCUUGAGUACAGAAGAGGAAAGCGGAAUUCCACGUGUAGCGGUGAAAUGCGUAGAGAUGUGGAGGAACACCAGUGGCGAAGGCGGCUUUCUGGUCUGUAACUGACGCUGAGGCGCGAAAGCGUGGGGAGCAAACAGG
rnacentral:rRNA from 1 species